ACGCCCCACCGUCAGCACCCAAAGCUGAAAUUCUUUUUAAACUAUUCCCUG
rnacentral:tRNA from 2 species